GGGCACAUGGUGUAGUUGGUUAUCACGCCCGUUUAGCACUCUAUUGCUGAACUACGGGCGGUGCCCGGUUCAAUUCCGGGUGUGUCCA